rnacentral:rRNA from 1 species
UGCCAGCAGCCGCGGUAAUACAGAGGGUGCGAGCGUUAAUCGGAAUUACUGGGCGUAAAGCGCACGUAGGCGGCUUGGUAUGUCGGGUGUGAAAUCCCCGGGCUCAACCUGGGAACUGCAUCCGAAACUGCCUUGCUCGAGUAUGGGAGAGGGAAGUGGAAUUUCCGGUGUAGCGGUGAAAUGCGUAGAUAUCGGAAGGAACAUCAGUGGCGAAGGCGACUUCCUGGACCAAUACUGACGCUCAGGUGCGAAAGCGUGGGGAGCAAACAGGAUUAGAUA